UUUGAAAAAAAUACAGAGUUUUCUUUUUUAAUGUUAUGAUGAAUAACUUUUUCUUUUGCGGUUUCUAACAGAAGGAUUUUGUCCUCUUGAUGGCUUAAAGAAUCUGACUAAAUGAAAUAUCUAGCAAAUAAAUAUUUAAAAAAGGAUUUUGGUUGAAAUUUCAAUUCUUUUUUCAGGUUGGGCAUUUCAGUGCUUGUGACUCAAUCCAGUUUUCACUUUGGAAAUCUAAGUUCUGAAAUAUGUUGGGAAUUUCAGUGCUUGUGACUCGAUCCAGUUUUCACUUUGGAAAUCUAAGUUCUGAAAUAUGUUGGGCAUUUCAGUGCUUGUGACUCAAUCCAGUUUUCACUUUGGAAAUCUAAGUUCUGAAAUAUAUUUUCAAGUUUUGAGGGUUACCGCCUAGACAUAACUGAUGAUUACAAGGUUGGGCAUUUCAGUGCUUGUGACUCGAUCCAGUUUUCACUUUGGAAAUCUAAGUUCUGAAAUAUGUUGGGAAUUUCAGUGCUUGUGACUCGAUCCAGUUUUCACUUUGGAAAUCUAAGUUCUGAAAUAUAUUUUCAAGUUUUGAGGGUUACCGCCUAGACAUAACUGAUGAUUACAAGGUUGGGCAUUUCAGUGCUUGUGACUCGAUCCAGUUUUCACUUUGGAAAUCUAAGUUCUGAAAUAUGUUGGGCAUUUCAGUGCUUGUGACUCAAUCCAGUUUUCACUUUGGAAAUCUAAGUUCUGAAAUAUAUUUUCAAGUUUUGAGGGUUACCGCCUAGGCAUAACUGAUGAUUACAAGGUUGGGCAUUUCAGUGCUUGUGACUCGAUCCAGUUUUCACUUUGGAAAUCUAAGUUCUGAAAUAUGUUGGGCAUUUCAGUGCUUGUGACUCGAUCCAGUUUUCACUUUGGAAAUCUAAGUUCUGAAAUAUAUUUUCAAGUUUUGAGGGUUACCGCCUAGGCAUAACUGAUGAUUACAAGGUUGGGAAUUUCAGUGCUUGUGACUCGAUCCAGUUUUCACUUUGGAAAUCUAAGUUCUGAAAUAUGUUGGGCAUUUCAGUGCUUGUGACUCGAUCCAGUUUUCACUUUGGAAAUCUAAGUUCUGAAAUAUGUUGGGCAUUUCAGUGCUUGUGACUGGAUCCAGUUUUCUCUUUGGAAAUCUAAAUUCUAAAAUAUUUAAGGAAACACUUAUUUCUGAGACAUAUCAGGUGAAAUGCUGAUAACUUCAAAUACUGUUGAUAGCUCUGAUAAUCUGAUAGAAAAUCAUCAAAAUCUUUAUAAUUAUAUUUCAGGUGACAGAACUAACACACAGUGUCAGGAACAUUCAUUGAAGUUUAAUCUUCUAUUAAACAGUACAGGUAGCCAAUAGUCUCGUCCUUCUGAAGCAUAAAUUUUAAUGAAAGUUCUUGCAACUGGGAGACAGUCUUGAAUACAAUUUAAUUUUUCUCUUCUUUAGGCAUUCCAAGGUUUGUGGAAGAUAAUUUAGUGAUAAAUUGAAUAAUUAUCAUUUGAAUUGUGUAUUUAAAAUUCACCAUCAAUAAUUAUUUUCUAACGA